AGUAACACAGAUUCUGCUAUCGCAUGCACUAGACAUGUCUUAUCUCUCUCUCUCUCUCAUGAGUUGCUUUCUUUCUUUUCGUGAUCCACUUUCUCUCUCCUUUUUUAUUUCUUCUUUUUCUUUUAUAAGGCGGGAGGACAGAGUGCCCUGCACGCCUUUUCUUCCUUCUAGGUGCAACUCCCGACUUCUUCCUCGUCUUCUUCC
rnacentral:lncRNA from 1 species